CCAAACAUCUCUUUAUAUAAAGAGGACAGCUUGAAGUGCAUAUCAUCAGUAACAAGGACAUCCUUUUCAUGCAGACUGAAGUCAGAUUCAUUGCUGUUGCCAAGAAAACAACAUCACUGAUCUUCGUCAGCUAAUUCCUGAUCAGGUGGAGAAAAUUGGCAUAGAGGAUAGUAUCCAUUUUCCAAUCUACAACACUAUGGAAAAUCAA